rnacentral:lncRNA from 1 species
GGCGCUGGCUUUAGGUGAACGACGUGUUCAGCAGAUUUGGAGAAGUUUCGGAUGUGGAGAUCAUCACACGGAAAGAUGACCAAGGAAACCCACAGAAAGUUUUUGCAUAUAUCAACAUCAGUGUAGCAGAAGCGGACCUGAAAAAAUCCAUUUUUCACGUUAUCCAGAGGGACAGCAGUGAUGAAGAGAAUUCCAGUAUCGUAUAACUCAGCAGGUUUAGGUCCAUUCCAUUUGGCAUCAGCAGACAUGGUAGCACUUUACUGGUAUGUCUGUUUUAAAUAAAACAAAAUGGAAAGGUGGAACAUUACAAAUUCAACUAGCAAAAGAAAGCUUUCUGCACAGAUUGGCCCAAGAGAGAGAAGCAGCAAAAGCUAAGAAAGAAGAAUCAACAACAGGUAACGCCAACUUGUUAGAAAAGACA